UACGUAGGGAGCAAGCGUUGUCCGGAAUCAUUGGGCGUAAAGCGCGUGUAGGCGGCUUGGUAAGUCUGCUCUGAAAGCCCGGGGCUCAACCCCGGGAGGCGGGUGGAUACUGCUGAGCUCGAGUCCGGAAGAGGCGAGUGGAAUUCCUGGUGUAGCGGUGAAAUGCGCAGAUAUCAGGAGGAACACCUAUUGCGAAGGCAGCUCGCUGGGACGUCACUGACGCUGAGACGCGAAAGCGUGGGGAGCGAACAGG
rnacentral:rRNA from 1 species